UACGGAGGAUGCGAGCGUUAUCCGGAUUUAUUGGGUUUAAAGGGUGCGUAGGCGGGCUGUUAAGUCAGCGGUCAAAUGUCGGGGGCUCAACCCCGGCCUGCCGUUGAAACUGGCGUUCUUGAGUGGGCGAGAAGUAUGCGGAAUGCGUGGUGUAGCGGUGAAAUGCAUAGAUAUCACGCAGAACUCCGAUUGCGAAGGCAGCAUACCGGCGCCCAACUGACGCUGAAGCACGAAAGCGUGGGAUCGAACAGG
rnacentral:rRNA from 1 species